rnacentral:rRNA from 1 species
UACGGAGGGUGCAAGCGUUAUCCGGAUUCACUGGGUUUAAAGGGUGCGUAGGCGGGCGGGUAAGUCCGUGGUGAAAUCUCUGAGCUUAACUCAGAAACUGCCAUGGAUACUAUUUGUCUUGAAUGUUGUGGAGGUAAGCGGAAUAUGUCAUGUAGCGGUGAAAUGCUUAGAUAUGACAUAGAACACCAAUUGCGAAGGCAGCUUACUACACAAAUAUUGACGCUGAGGCACGAAAGCGUGGGGAUCAAACAGG